CUGAAGGUGACGAUCUCUCCAAACAUCACCAUCAAGCUGAUGCUGUUAACAACACAUUAUUGGAUCCUUUUGAUUCAUACCGGAUGGAUGCAAAUCUAUAUAAUCGCUUUCAGAGGUUUGAUAUUGAUGACGAUGAAGGCACACAGUUGAACUCAAGUCCUCAAGAGCACUCACCAAUCCC